rnacentral:rRNA from 1 species
CCUACGGGUUGCAGCAGUGGGGAAUUUUGCACAAUGGGCGCAAGCCUGAUGCAGCCAUGCCGCGUGUAUGAAGAAGGCCUUCGGGUUGUAAAGUACUUUCAGCGGGGAGGAAGGUGUUGUGGUUAAUAACCACAGCAAUUGACGUUACCCGUAGAAGAAGCACCGGCUAACUCCGUGCCAGCAGCCGCGGUAAUACGGAGGGUGCAAGCGUUAAUCGGAAUUACUGGGCGUAAAGUGCACGCAGGCGGUCUGUCAAGUCGGGUGUGAAAUCCCCGGGCUCAACCUGGGAACUGCAUUCGAAACUGGCAGGCUAGAGUCAUGUAGAGGGGGGUAGAAUUCCAGGUGUAGCGGUGAAAUGCGUAGAGAUCUGAAGGAAUACCAGUGGCGAAGGCGGCCCCCUGGACAAAGACUGACGCUCAGAUGCGAAAGCGUGGGGAGCAAACAGGAUUAGAUACCCUUGUAGUC